rnacentral:lncRNA from 1 species
UAAACUGAUUUAUUUUACAGGAAGAAAGUUUUAAAACAGUGAAGCAUUGGUUGCCAUUCCUUAGUCAAAAUAAACCAGAUAUUCAAAUAAUUGUAUGUAGACACUGUUCUGAUUUCACAGCUGUCCCUCGAAUGACAGUUUUAAAAUGGUGUGUAGAGAAUGCAAUGGAACUAGUGGAAUUGAAACCUGACUUAAAUGAAGAAGAAGACUUCCAAGAGUCAUAUGGAAUAAGCAGAAUAAUACAAGCUCUGCAUGCUCACACAUGGCCAAACCUAGUGAUGAAACGUAAGG